rnacentral:misc_RNA from 1 species
AAGUCGUAACAAGGUCUCCGUUGGUGAACCUGCGGAGGGAUCAUUACCACGUUUCCAACGUAUCAAACAAACCGCGAACUUGUAAAAAAUUCACCUAUCAUAUGAACACGGGACUAAGUUGAUAGAUAAUAGCGCCUUGAUGGGUCACUGGGAAACUAGUGACGUGCGCUUCUUAGUCUACCCAGAAGUAAAACGCUGGAGGUGAUUCAUUGUGGGCUUGCUAAAUUUCCCAUCAUUUUUUUAUCUUUAACGAUACCACCCUUUACUAAUUGACUAACCCCUUGACUUGUGUCCCGAAAGGGAUCAAGUUGAAUCGUAGUUUAUCGAAACUAAGUACAACUCUUAGCAACGGAUAUCUCGGUUCUC